rnacentral:rRNA from 1 species
AUUCCCAUUGAUCCUGUGGGAGAUUGCUGCUAUUGGGAUUCUAUUAAGCCAUGCAAGUCAAGGGGCUUCUUUGAAGCACCGGCAUAAGGCUCAGUAACACGUCGAUAAUUUGCCCUUAGGUUGAGGACAGCUUCGGGAAACUGAAGGUAAACCUCAAUAGAAGAUUAUAACUGGAAUGUAUUUUCUUUUAAACGCAAGGCCUAAGGAUAAGUUGGCGGCUGAUUAGGUAGUUGGCGAGGUAAAGGCUCACCAAGCCAUUGAUCAGUAGGGGGGAUGAAAGUCCUAGCCCCGAGAAGGGCACUGAGAUACUGGCCCUAGCCCUAAGGGGUGCAGCAGGCGAGAAACCUUUACAAUGCACGCAAGUGUGAUAGGGGAAUCCCAAGUGUUCUACUUCGGUAGAACUUUUGCCAAAUGUAAAAAGUUUGGCGAAUAAGUGGUGGGCAAGACGGGUGCCAGCCGCCGCGGUAACACCUGCGCCACAAGUGGCAAUCACGUUUAUUGGGCCUAAAGCGUACGUAGCCGGUUUAAAAAGUCUUCUGUGAAACUGUAAGGCUUAACCUUACAACGUGCGGAAGAUACUAUUAGACUUGAGACUGGGAGGAGGUAGAAGUAUUUUGGGGGGAGCGGUAAAAUGUAAUAAUCCCCAAAGGACUACCUGUGGCGAAGGCGUCUAUCUAGAACAGUUCUGACGGUGAGGUACGAAGGCCAGGGGAGCAAAACGGAUUAGAUACCCGAGUAGUCCUGGCAGUAAACGCUGCGAACUAUGUGUUGCAUACUUUUAGAAAUAUGCAGUGCCUAAGCGAAGGUGUUAAGUUCGCCGCCUGGGAAGUACGGCCGCAAGACUGAAACUUAAAGGAAUUGGCGGGGGCUCGCUACAAGGAGUGAGGCGUGCGGUUUAAUUGGAUUCUACACCGGAAAUCUCACCAGGAGCGACGGCAGAAUGAAGGUCAGAUUGAAGGUUUUACCUGACAAGCCGAGAGGUGGUGCAUGGCCGACGUCAGCUCGUGCCGUGAGGUGUCACGUUAAGUCGUGCAACGAGCAAGACCCAUAUCUACAAUUACCAACAGAUUCUAAGGAAUGACUGGGUACAAUGUAGAGACUGCUUGCGUAAGUAAGAGGAAGGUGUGGGCAACGUUAGGUCAGUAUGCCCCGAAUCUCCUGGGCUACACGCGCGCAACAAUGGUAAGGACAAUAGGAUGCAACUCCGAAAGGAGAAGCCAACCCCUUAAACCUUAUCCUAGUUCAGAUUGAGGGUUGUAACUCACCCUCAUGAUGUCGGAAUUCCUAGUAAUCGGAUCUCAACAAGGUCCGGUGAAUACGUCAACUAGCCUUGCACACACUGCCCAUCAUCCCAGCCGAGCAGGGUUUAGGUGAGAGGUAAUUCUCUUGAUUACACCGAACCUAAAUUCAGCAAGGAAGGGCAAGUUGUCACAAGGUAUCCGUAGGGGAACCUGCGGAUGGAUCACCUCCU